rfam:Bradyrhizobium sp. STM 3843, WGS project CAFK01000000 data, contig: 00093-775
CAUACGGGGAUUGCGAUCUCCCCGCGAGGCGACAUGCCCAAGUAUCGCGUCCUGAUUCUUCGAAAGGGCGCAGCAUG